rnacentral:rRNA from 1 species
CCUAGCCCUUCAGAGGGGGACAACAGUUGGAAACGACUGCUAAUACCGCAUACGAUCCAAUCUCGGCAUCGAGACUGGAUGAAAGGUGGCCUCUAUUUAUAAGCUAUCACUGAAGGAGGGGAUUGCGUCUGAUUAGCUAGUUGGAGGGGUAACGGCCCACCAAGGCGAUAAUCAGUAGCCGGUCUGAGAGGAUGAACGGCCACAUUGGGACUGAGACACGGCCCAG